GACCCACACGUCCAUAAAAAAAUCGAGCAAGCCAACCUCUCCUCGAUCCUUCGCGCGAGUUCCUUCUCGUCCGCCUCUGUCCAGAGAAAAUCCCCUUUCUCCUCCGACCGAUCCAUCUCCAUCCUCACCUCCUCGUCUCGAUCCGGCGUGGAUCUAGGCCAAAUCGACACGCAUCUCCUACCCCAGGCAAGGUGUUCGUCGGCCCGCCGAGGCUCCGCGGCUAGUGGAGGUGAUGUGCGGCGGGGGACGAGCUCCAUGGACGAGGAGGAGGAAGCAGGAGGCGGAGGCGGGCCAGCAGUAUAUUGUAGCUAGCGCUGCCCGGACUACUGGACGGCCGGCUACUGCGCUGCCUCUACUACUUUCUACUACUAUGCUGCCUCUACUGGUCUCGAAGCAGCACAGGUGAGGAUGCGUGAUGUUCAGCCUAUGAAGCAAACAAAAAUGUUUUACUGGAUUCAGUUAAGACAUUGUAAUGUUCGGCCUAUGAAGCUCUAUCUAUUAGGACGUGCUAUACUUGCAUGUAGUGUAGUACUAGUCAAUAAUGUCAGUGAUGCUACUUUCCUGUUCUUAAAAAUUAGCAACAAAAAAUAAUAAUAAAAUGUUCUCAUUCCACAAUUUGUAAACUAAAUUACACAAUUACAAAGGAGAUGCUCGACUGGAAAACUAAAGUAGAAAGGGGUAGAAAUUAAUAAGAUGAAUUCAUGUAGAACUUAUAAUUGUUGGAAAUAUGCCCUAGAGGCAAUAAUAAAUGGUUAUUAUUAUAUUUCUUUGUUCAUGGUAAUUGUCUAUUAUUCAUGCUAUAAUUGUAUUGUCCGGAAAUCGUAAUACAUGUGUGAAUACAUAGACCACAACCUGUCCCUAGUAAGCCUCUAGUUGACCAGCUCGUUGAUCAACAGAUAGUCAUGGUUUCCUGACUAUGGACAUUGGAUGUCAUUGAUAACGGGAUCACAUCAUUAGGAGAAUGAUGUGAUGGACAAGACCCAACUUAAGCAUAGCAUAAAAGAUCGUGUAGUUUCGUUUGCUAGAGCUUUUCCAAUGUCAAGUACCUUUUCCUUAGACCAUGAGAUCGUGCAACUCCCGGAUACCGUAGGAGUGCUUUGGGUGUGCCAAACGUCACAACGUAACUGGGUGACUAUAAAGGUGCAUUACGGGUAUCUUCAAAAGUGUCUGUUGGGUUGGCACGGAUCGAGACUGGGAUUUGUCACUCCGUGUAACGGAGAGGUAUCUCUGGGCCCACUCGGUAAUGCAUCAUCAUAAUGAGCUCAAUGUGACUAAGGCGUUAGUCACGGGAUCAUGCAUUGCGGUACGAGUAAAGAGACUUGCUGGUAACGAGAUUGAACAAGGUAUUGGGAUACCGACGAUCGAAUCUCGGGCAAGUAACAUACCGAUUGACAAAGGGAAUUGCAUACGGAUUGAUUGAAUCCUCGACACCGUGGUUCAUCCGAUGAUAUCAUCGUGGAACAUGUGGGAGCCAACAUGGGUAUCCAGAUCCCGCUGUUGGUUAUUGACCGGAGAGGCGUCUCGGUCAUGUCUGCAUGUCUCCCGAACCCGUAGGGUCUACACACUUAAGGUCCGGUGACGCUAGGGUUGUAGAGAUAUAUGUAUGCGGAAACCCGAAAGUUGUUCGGAGUCCCGGAUGAGAUCCCGGACGUCACGAGAGGUUCCGGAAUGGUCCGGAGGUAAAGAUUUAUAUAUGGGAAGUCUUAUUUUGGUCGCCGGAAAAGUUUCGCGCUUUAUCGGUAUUGUACCGGGAGUGCCGAAAGGGGUCCGGGGGUCCACCAAGGGGGUCCACCAGCCCCGGGGGGGCACAUGGGCUGUAAGGGGUGCGCCUUGGCCUAUAUGGGCCAAGGGCACCAGCCCCAAGAGGCCCAUGCGCAAGAGAUAAGAAAAAAGGGAGAAUCCUAAAGGGGGAAGGCACCUCCGAGGUGCCUUGGGGGGGAAGGACUCCCCCCUGGCCGCACCCUUCCUUGGAGGAAGGGGAAAGGCUGCGCCCCCCCCCUCUCCCUUGGCCCUAUAUAUAGUGGGGGGAAGGGAGGGCAGCAAUAUCUAAGCCUUGGGCGCCUCCCUCCUCCCCUGCAACACCUCUCUCUCUCUUGCAGAAGCUCGGCGAAGCCCUGCCGGAGACCCGCUACAUCCAUCACCACGCCGUCGUGCUGUUGGAUCUCCAUCAACCUCUCCUCCCCCUUUGCUGGAUCAAGAAGGAGGAGACGUCGCUGCACCGUACGUGUGUUGAACGCGGAGGUGCCGUCCGUUCGGCACUCGGUCAUCGGUGAUUUGGAUCACGGCGAGUACGACUCCGUCAUCCACGUUCAUUGGAACGCUUCCGCUCGCGAUCUACAAGGGUAUGUAGAUCCACUCCUUUCCCCUCGUUGCUAGUAGACUCCAUAGAUGCAUCUUGGUGAGCGUAGGAAAAUUUUAAAUUAUGCUACGAUUCCCAACAGUGGCAUCAUGAGCCAGGUCUAUGUGUAGUUACUAUGCACGAGUAGAACACAAAGUAGUUGUGGGCGUUGAGUUUGCCAAUUCUUCUUGCCGCUACUAGUCUUUUCUUGUUUCGGCGGCAUUGUAGGAUGAAGCGGCCCGGACCGACCUUACACGUACUCUUACGUGAGACAGGUUCCACCGACUGACAUGCACUAGAUGCAUAAGGUGGCUAGCGGGUGUCUGUCUCUCCUACUUUAGUCGGAACGGAUUCGAUGAAAAGGGUCCUUAUGAAGGGUAAAUAGAAAUUGGCAAAUCACGUUGUGGUCAUACGUAGGUAAGAAACGUUCUUGCUAGAAACCUACAAACCACGUAAAAACUUGCAACAACAAUUAGAGAACGUCUAACUUGUUUUUGCAGCAAGUGCUAUGUGAUGUGAUAUGGCCAGGAGAUGUGAUGAAUGAUAUAUGUGAUGUAUGAGAUUGAUCAUAUUCUUGUAAUAGGAAUCACGACUUGCAUGUCGAUGAGUAUGACAACCGGCAGGAGCCAUAGGAGUUGUCUUUAUUAUUUUGCAUGACCUGCGAGUCAUUGAAUAACGCCAUGUAGAUUACUUUACUUUGUUGCUAAACGAGUUGGCCAUAUAAGUAGAAGUAAUCGUUGGCGUGACAACUUCAUGAAGACACAAUGAUGGAGAUCAUGAUGAUGGAGAUCAUGGUGUCAUGCCGGUGACAAAGAUGAUCAUGGUGCCCCGAAGAUGGAGAUCAAAGGAGCAUGAUGAUAUUGGCCAUAUCAUGUCACUAUUUGAUUGCAUGUGAUGUUUAUCAUGUUUUUUGCAUCUUAUUUGCUUAGAACGACGGUAGCAAGUAGGAUGAUCCCUUAUAAUAAUUUCAAGAAAGUGUUCACCCUAACUGUGCACCGUUGCGAAGGUUCGUCGUUUCGAAGCACCACGUGAUGAUCGGGUGUGAUAGAUUGUUACGUUCGAAUACAACGGGUGUUGACGAGCCUAGCAUGUACAGACAUGGCCUCGGAACACACGCAAUACACUUAGGUUGACUUGACGAGCCUAGCAUGUACAGACAUGGCCUCGGAACACGGAGGACCGAAAGGUCGAGCAUGAGUCGUAUAGAAGAUACGAUCAACAUGGAGAUGUUCACCGAUCUUGACUAGUCCGUCUCACGUGAUGAUCGGACACGGCCUAGUUAAACUCGGAUCAUGUUUCACUUAGAUGACUAGAGGGAUGUCUAUCUGAGUGGGAAUUCAUAAUCAGAUGAACUUCAUUAUCAUGAACAUAGUCAAAUAGGUAUUUGCGAAUUAUGUCAUAGCUUGCGCUUUAGUUCUACUGGUUAAGAUAUGUUCCUAGAGAAAAUUUAGUUGAAAGUUGGUAGUAGCAAUUAUGCGGACUGGGUCCGUAAACUGAGGAUUGUCCUCAUUGCUGCACAGAAGGCUUAUGUCCUUAAUGCACCGCUCGGUGUGCUGAACCUCAGCGUCGUCUGUAGAUGUUACAAAACAUCUGACAUACACGUUUUGAUAACUACGUGAUAGUUCGGUGCGGUUUAAAAUUGUGGCACCAAAGACGUUUCUGAAACGUCGCAGAACAUGUGAGAUGUUCCAAAGACUGAAAUUGGGAUUUCAGACUAGUGCCCACGUCAAGAGGUAUGAGACCUCUGACAAGUUUCUUAAGCCUGCAAACUAAGAGAGAAAAGCUCAAUCGUUGAGCGUGUGCUCAGAUUGUCUGAGUGCCACAAUCGCUUAAAUCGAGUGGGAGUUAAUCUCCCAGAUGAGAUAGUGAUAGUUCUCCAUAGUCACUGCCACCAAGCUAGUAGAGCUUCGUGAUGAACUAUAACAUAUCAAGGAUAGUUAUGAUGAUCCUUGAGCUAUUCGCGAUGUUUGACACCGCGAGAGUAGAAAUCAAGAAGGAGCAUCAAUUGUUGAUGGUUAGUAAAACCACUAGUUUAAGAAGGGCAAGGGCAAAAGGGAUACUUCAUGAAACAGCAAGUCGUUUGCUGCUCUAGUGAAGAAUCCCAAGGUUGAACCCAAACCCGAGACUAAGUGCUUCUGUAAUGAGAGGAACGGUCACUGAAGCAGUACUACCCUAGAUACUUGGUAGAUGAGAAGGCAGGCAAGGUCGACAAAGUAUAUUGGAUAUACGUUAUAUGAAUGUGUACUUUACUAGUACUCCUAGCAGCACCAGGGUAUUAGAUACUGGUUCGGUUGCUAAGUGUUAGUAACUCGAAAUAAAAGCUGCGGAAUAAAUGGAGACUAGCUAAAGGUGAGAUGACGAUAUGUGUUGGAAGUGUUUCCAAGGUUGAUGUGAUCAAGCAUCGCAUGCUCCCUCUACCAUCGAGAUUUGGUGGUUGCGCUGAACAUGAUUGGAUUAUGUUUACCGCAAAACGGUUAUUCAUUUAAGGAGAAUAAUGGUUACUCUGUUUAUUUGAAUAAUACCUUCAAUGGUCUUGCACCUAAAAUGAAUCUUGAUCGUAGUGAUACACAUGUUCAUGCCAAAAGAUAUAAGAUAGUAAUGAUAGUACCACAUACUUGUGGCACUGCCACUUGAGUCAUAUUGGUGUAGAACGCAUGAAGAAGCUCCAUGUAGGUGGAUCUUUGGACUCGCUCAUUUUUGGAAAGAUUGAGACAUGCGAACCAUGUCUAUUGGUAUAUAUGCAUGAAGAAACUCCAUACAGAUGGAUCGUUUGGACUCACUUGAUUAUGAAUCACUUGAGACAUGCAAAUCAUACCACAUGGGCAAGAUGACUGAAAGGCCUCGUUUUCAGUGAGAUGGAACAAGAGAGCAAUUUAUUGGAAGUAAUACAUUUUGAUGUAUGCAGUCCAAUGAAUGCUGAGGCAUGCAGUGGAUAUCGUUAUGUUCUUACUUCACAGAUGAUUUGAGUAGAUGCUGAGUGUAUUUACUUGAUGAAACACUAGUCUGAAUUAUUGAAAGGUUCAAGCAAUUUCAGAGUGAAGUUGAAGAUCGUCGUGACAAGAGGAUAAAAUGUCUGUGAUAUGAUCAUAGAGAUGAGUAUCUGAGAUACGAGUUUGGCACACAAUUGAGACAUUGUGGAAAGUGUUUCACAAUUAAUACCGCCUGGAACACCAUAGUGUGAUGGUGUGUCCGAACAUCAUAACUGCACCCUAUUGGAUAUGGUGCAUGCCAUGAUGUUUCUUAUCAAAUUACCACUAUCAUUUAUGGGUUAGGCAUUAGAGACAACCGCAUUCACUUUAAAAGGGGCACCACGCAAUUCCGUUGAGACGACACCGUUUAUAGAAACCUAAGUUGUCGUUUCUUAAAAGUUUGGGGCUGCGAUGCUUAUGUGAAAAAGUUUCAGGCUGAUAAGCUCGAACCCAAAGCGGAUAAAUGCAUCUUCAUAGAAUACCCAAAAACAGUUGGGUAUACCUCCUAUCUAGAAGCAAAAGUAAUUGCUUCUAGAAACGAGUCCUUUCUCGAGGAAAAGUUUCUCUCGAAAGAAUUGAGUGGGAGGAUGGUGGAGACUUGAUAAGGUUAUUGAACCGUCGCUUCAACUAGUGUGUAGCAGGGCACAGGAAGUUGUUCCUGUGGCACCUACACCAAUUGAAGUGGAAGCUUAUGAUAGUGAUCAUGAAACUUCGGAUCAAGUCACUACCAAACCUCGUAGGAUGACGAGGAUGCGCACUACUUCAGAGUAAUGCGUGACUGUCUUGGAAGUCAUGUUGCUAGACAACAAUGAACCUACGAGCUAUGGAGAAGCGAUGGUAGGCCCAUAUUCCGACGAAUGGCUCGAGGCCAUGAAAUCCGAGAUAGAAUCCAUGUAUCAGAACAAAGCAUGGACUUUGGUGAACUUGCCCGAUGAUCGGCAAGCCAUUGAGAUAAAUGGAUCUUUAAGAAGAAGACGGACAUGGACGGUAAUGUUACCGUCUAUGAAGCUCGACUUGUGGCAAAGAGUAUUUUCACAAGUUCAAGGAAUUGACUACGAUGAGUUUUUCUCAUCCGUAGCGAUGCUUAGGUCCGUCGGAAUCAUGUUAGCAUUAGCUACAUUUAUGAAAUCUGGCAGAUGGAUGUCAAAACAAGUUCCCUUACCAGUUUUCGUAAGGAAAGGUUGUAUGUGAUACAAUCAGAAAGGUUUUGUCGAUCCUAAGGAUGCUAAAAGGUAUGCUAGCUCCAGCGAUCCUUCCAUGGAUCAGAGCAAGCAUCUCGGAGUCAGAAUAUACGCUUUGAUGGGGUGAUCAAAGUUUUUGGGUUUAUACAAAGUUUGUUAGAAACUUGUAUUUACAAUAAAGUGAGUGGGAGCGCUACAACAUUUCUGAUAAGUAUAUGUGAAUGACAUAUUGAUGAUCCGAAAUGAUGUAAAAUUUCUAGAAAGCAUAAAGGUUUGUUUGAAAGGAGUUUUUCAAAGGAAGACCUGGAUAAAGCUACUUACAUAUUGGGCAUCAAGAUCCAUAGAGAUAGAUCAAGACGCCUGAUGAUACUUUCAAAAGACAGCACACCUUGACAUGAUUUUGAAAGAGUUCAAAAUAGAUCAGCAAAGAAGGAGUUCUUGGCUGUGUUACAAGGUGUGAGUAUUGAGUGAGACUCAAGACCUGACCACAGCAGAAGAUAGAGAAAGGACGAAGCUCGUCCCCUAUGCUUUAGACAUAGGCUCUAUAGUAUGCUAUGCUGUGUACCGCACAUGUAGUGUGCCUUGCCAUGAGUUGGUCAAGAGGGUACAAUGGUGAUCCGGGAAAGGAUCUCAUGACAGCGGUCGAACUUAUCCUUAGCACCUAGUGGAUUAAGGAAUUUUCUCGAUUAUGGAGGUGGAAAGGAGUUCGUCGUAAAGGGUUACGUCGAUGCGAACUUUGACACUAAUCCGGAUGACUCUGAGUAGUAAACCGGAUUCGUAUAGUAGAGCAAUUAUUUGAAAUGGCUCCAAAUAGCGCGUGGUAGCAUCCACAAGAUGACAUAGAUAUUCGUAAAGCGCACGGUUCUGAAAGGUUCAGACCCGUUGACUAAUAACCUCUCUCACAAGCAUAACAUGACCAAACCAGAACACAUUGAGUGAUAAUCACAUAGUGAUGUGAACUAGAUCGUUGACUCUAGUAAACUCUUUAGAUGUUGGUCACAUGGUGAUGUGACCAGUGAGUGUUAAUCACAUGGUGAUGUGAACUAGAUUAUUGACUCUAGUGCAAGUGGGAGACUGUUGGAAAUAUGCCCUAGAGGCAAUAAUAAAUGGUUAUUAUUAUAUUUCUUUGUUCAUGGUAAUUGUCUAUUAUUCAUGCUAUAAUUGUAUUGUCCGGAAAUCGUAAUACAUGUGUGAAUACAUAGACCACAACCUGUCCCUAGUAAGCCUCUAGUUGACCAGCUCGUUGAUCAACAGAUAGUCAUGGUUUCCUGACUAUGGACAUUGGAUGUCAUUGAUAACGGGAUCACAUCAUUAGGAGAAUGAUGUGAUGGACAAGACCCAACUUAAGCAUAGCAUAAAAGAUCGUGUAGUUUCGUUUGCUAGAGCUUUUCCAAUGUCAAGUACCUUUUCCUUAGACCAUGAGAUCGUGCAACUCCCGGAUACCGUAGGAGUGCUUUGGGUGUGCCAAACGUCACAACGUAACUGGGUGACUAUAAAGGUGCAUUACGGGUAUCUUCAAAAGUGUCUGUUGGGUUGGCACGGAUCGAGACUGGGAUUUGUCACUCCGUGUAACGGAGAGGUAUCUCUGGGCCCACUCGGUAAUGCAUCAUCAUAAUGAGCUCAAUGUGACUAAGGCGUUAGUCACGGGAUCAUGCAUUGCGGUACGAGUAAAGAGACUUGCCGGUAACGAGAUUGAACAAGGUAUUGGGAUACCGACGAUCGAAUCUCGGGCAAGUAACAUACAGAUUGACAAAGGGAAUUGCAUACGGAUUGAUUGAAUCCUCGACACCGUGGUUCAUCCGAUGAUAUCAUCGUGGAACAUGUGGGAGCCAACAUGGGUAUCCAGAUCCCGCUGUUGGUUAUUGACCGGAGAGGCGUCUCGGUCAUGUCUGCAUGUCUCCCGAACCCGUAGGGUCUACACACUUAAGGUCCGGUGACGCUAGGGUUGUAGAGAUAUAUGUAUGCGGAAACCCGAAAGUUGUUCGGAGUCCCGGAUGAGAUCCCGGACGUCACGAGAGGUUCCGGAAUGGUCCGGAGGUAAAGAUUUAUAUAUGGGAAGUCUUAUUUUGGUCGCCGGAAAAGUUUCGCGCUUUAUCGGUAUUGUACCGGGAGUGCCGAAAGGGGUCCGGGGGUCCACCAAGGGGGUCCACCAGCCCCGGGGGGCCACAUGGGCUGUAAGGGGUGCGCCUUGGCCUAUAUGGGCCAAGGGCACCAGCCCCAAGAGGCCCAUGCGCAAGAGAUAAGAAAAAAGGGAGAGUCCUAAAGGGGGAAGGCACCUCCGAGGUGCCUUGGGGGGGAAGGACUCCCCCCUGGCCGCACCCUUCCUUGGAGGAAGGGGAAAGGCUGCGCCCCCCCUCUCCCUUGGCCCUAUAUAUAGUGGGGGAAAGGGAGGGCAGCAAUAUCUAAGCCUUGGGCGCCUCCCUCCUCCCCUGCAACACCUCUCUCUCUCUUGCAGAAGCUCGGCGAAGCCCUGCCGGAGACCCGCUACAUCCAUCACCACGCCGUCGUGCUGUUGGAUCUCCAUCAACCUCUCCUCCCCCUUUGCUGGAUCAAGAAGGAGGAGACGUCGCUGCACCGUACGUGUGUUGAACGCGGAGGUGCCGUCCGUUCGGCACUCGGUCAUCGGUGAUUUGGAUCACGGCGAGUACGACUCCGUCAUCCACGUUCAUUGGAACGCUUCCGCUCGCGAUCUACAAGGGUAUGUAGAUCCACUCCUUUCCCCUCGUUGCUAGUAGACUCCAUAGAUGCAUCUUGGUGAGCGUAGGAAAAUUUUAAAUUAUGCUACGAUUCCCAACAAUAAUUGCUAAUGUCCAUUUCCUCCAAACUUUUGCCAAAUAUUCUCAACCAAAUCAGCCUUGAGACGACGAUGUGUGGAUCGAUCCCGAAUGGCAGCAUCUGUCUCAAGAACCAGAUCAAACCCAUCAAAUGGUCCUUGUUCAGUUUCAAGAUAUGGUAUUUGGGCGCCUUGUAGCAAUUCAUAGUCACAGUCAUAUUUGUCAUAGCACUUGUAGGUGUGCCUCUCAUCUGCAACGAUCAUGUUAUGCAAUAUAAUGCAAGCAUACAUGAUCUCAGCAAGAGCACACCUUUGCAACAUACGCCCUGGAUGACGAACUAUAGCAAAACGAGCUUGCAAAACACCAAAAGCCCGCUCUACAUCUUUCCUUGCUCCUUCUUGAUGUGCUUUAUAUAACUUGUGCUUCUCACUUUGAGCCAUAGGGAUUGAUUUCACAAAUGUCACCCAUUCCGUAUAAAUGCCAUCUACUAAGUAGUAUCCCAAGUUAUACUCAUUGUGAUUGACUUCAAAGUGAACCUUUGGAGUUGUACCUUGCAACACUUGAGUAAACAAAGUUGAUUGGUCUAGGACAUUGAUAUCAUUACUUGAUCCAGCAACCCCAAAAAAUGCAUGCCAUAUCCAUAGGUCAUGUGAGGCUACAGCUUCGAGCAUGACUGUGGAAACUCCAUGAUCGCCACGAGUGAACAUUCCCUUCCAAGCCACUGGACAAUUUCUCCAUGUCCAGUGCAUGCAAUCAAGACUUCCCAACAUGCCAAGAAAGCCACGGGCCUCCCCUACAUGAAGUAAGCGUUGUAUGUCUUCGUUAGUGGGCCUUCUAAGAUAUUCUGGACCAAACUUCUCCAUCACACCCUUGCAAAAUGUGGUCAUGCACUUGAUGAUUGUGGUUUCACCCAUUCUCAAGUUAUCAUCAAACAAAUCAGCAGGUGUCCCAAAUGCUAGCACUCGCAUAGCAGCAGUGCAUUUCUGCAAGGGAGAAAAGCCAGGCUUGCCAAAUGCAUCACUCCUCUGAGUAAAGAAUGGAGACCACUCGCCAAGAGUUUGGACAAUGUGUAAAAAUAAAUGCUUCCUCAUACGAAACCUACGCCUAAAUUGCUUGUCAGUGUACAAUGGAUUUUCUGAGAAGUAAUCAGCCAUCAGCCUAUCCUCACCACCUUGCCUAUCUCUAUCAAGGUGUCUUCUAGGUAGUCUUCUGUGUUCAUUGGACGUACCUAUCUGUUGUGCUGCAAUCUAAGCUCGAAUUUCUGCUUCAACCUGGGCUUCAACUGGGUCAUUCAUGAAGUCCCAGAAAAAGUCACUCAUGGCUUCGAAACUAAUUGCUGCAUCAACAUUGUCUUGUUGCUCUGCUUGUGGGUUCUCAUUGGUGGACAUCUCUUGAGUGGAAGGUGUGUUGUGUUUGGGCUUGGUGGGAUGGAGCUGCUGCCUCUAUUAAUAGGGAAUAGUUUCCAACGGCUAGUUUUCAACAGCAAUAUUUCCAGCAAGUUAAAUGCAGUGCAUAGUAAUUCAUCAAAUGAUUACAUAGUAAUUCAGAAAAUGCUUACAACCAGUGAUUACAUACUAAUUCAUAAAGUUCUAAUAAACAACGAUCACAUGAAACUGCUUACAUAGCGCAUCAUUCACCUACAAGAUACAUCUAAUCUUAACCGAACAGAUCAUUAGCUAAGAAAUUUAGAACUUGUUCAUGUCUUUUCUUUUGGGCAUCAUCAUAAGCUGAAGUAUUUUUGUGAAGAAGAUCAAGGUAUUUGCUCAGUUUGUCCACCUUUAUCUUCUCCUUCUCAGUUUCAACUCUUUCAUUCUCAGCUUCUGCUUGAACUUUUGUGGCUUCUGCUUGAAUAAGGGUGGCGUCGGCCAUUUUCUCUGCAGCAAUUGAUUUUCGUAGUUGAAUCUCAUUAAAUUUGUCCACACUCUCACUUGUCAAGCUUCCAGAGCAUUUAGACUUGCUUGAUGACUUAUGUUUAUCUUUUGCGUCUUUUGAAGUGUUGCGUCCCGGGGGUCGUUGAAGUUCACCUUCCUCAUCUAUUGCCUGGGUUGGAGAACUAUAAGCUCCUAAUGCAUUCAACUUGUUUCUUUUGUUCAUCUCUUCAACUGAAUAAGACCUUCUCCAUUUAGCCUCUUUCCUCACGUACUCCCACCAGUGCUCAUAUGGAAAGGGUCUUUUUGUCUUGGCAACACUCAUGUAUUUGGCACGUACCCUCUCCAUAAGUUGCUUGUCAUCACUCCCACUAGGCCAUGUACUUUUUUCAACAUUGUAGAUACCAUUGAACUUUGUAACCUUCUUUGUGGUCUUGGUCCAGUGGUUCUUGCAUUGCCCAACUGUUUUCUUCUGCUCUUUUGUUGCAUAUUUGUUGUACUCUGCUGCGACUUCCUUCCAAUAGGUCUCUGCCCUUUUGGAGUUUCCAUCAAUCGGAUCACAUGAAUUGUGCACCCAAGCUGCUAUGAGAAGUUCAUCCUCACGCUUACUCCAGUUCUUGCCUUUUCCUUUUUUUCUGAAUCUCAUCAGGACUACUAUCACUGCCAUCUUGAUUACUGACAGCCGGAUCUUCAUCCACAUGAUAUGCAGGUGACAUGGGAGAACUAAAUCCAACUGGACUGUUCUCAUCUCCUCUUGAACUAGUGCCUCUAGCAGAUCCAAGAAAAGGUAUGCAUCCAGCAGGAGAAGCUGGACUGCUACUUGAGCCUGCUCCAAAUGCUCCCGAAGGGUACUGCCCCAUGUUACCUUGGUAAGCAACACCAUGGUACCCUGGAGGUAUGGAUGGAACUUGCUGGUAACCUCCUUGAGCAUAUAAAUUUGCAUGGUGUGGGUGUUGAUGCUGGAAACUGGGAAUAUAUUGUGUGGGUGGAUAAUUCAUAUGUGGAUGAUGGGGAUGGAAACUAGAAUUGUACUGCAAACUAAUUGGGCUCUGUGGAUUUUGUAGGUUGUUUGGGCUCUGUGCAUCUGAAGGUGAGAAGGAGGAGUUCAUCAUGCUUGUGAAGCUUUGAGAAGAUGAGUGCUCCAUGUUUUGGGGGAGAGUUUUUCCAAGAUCUUCCUGUGCUUCUAUGAGCUUGUUCUGUACAUUUUAUAGACAUAUUCUCCAAACGGGCAGAUUUUCCUACUACAGUGCAACGGUCAUCUGGAAAUUUGAGUGCUCUGGUUUGCUGUGAAUUGAGUGCUGUUUGGUAUGGAUUGAAUGAUGUUGCUCGGUGGUGG
rnacentral:lncRNA from 1 species